GACGAACGCUGGCGGCGUGCCUAAUACAUGCAAGUAGAACGCUGAAGGGAGGAGCUUGCUCUUCUUGGAUGAGUUGCGAACGGGUGAGUAACGCGUAGGUAACCUGCCUUGUAGCGGGGGAUAACUAUUGGAAACGAUAGCUAAUACCGCAUAACAAUGGAUGACACAUGUCAUUUAUUUGAAAGGGGCAAUUGCUCCACUACAAGAUGGACCUGCGUUGUAUUAGCUAGUAGGUGAGGUAAUGGCUCACCUAGGCGACGAUACAUAGCCGACCUGAGAGGGUGAUCGGCCACCCUGGGACGGAGACACGGCCCAGACUCCUACGGGAGGCGGCAGUAGGGAAUCUUCGGCAAUGGGGGCAACCCUGACCGAGCAACGCCACGUGAGGGAAGAAGGUUUUCGGAUCGUAAAGCUCUGUUGUAAGUCAAGAACGGGUGUGAGAGUGGAAAGUUCACACUGUGACGGUAGCUUACCAGAAAGGGACGGCUAACUACGUG
rnacentral:rRNA from 1 species